CUACGGGAUGCAGCAGUCGGGUAUAAUCUACAAUGCACGCAAGUGUGAUAGUUUGAGCCAGAGUGUUUGUCAAUGACAAACUUUUGCCAAGUGUAAAAAGCUUGGCGAAUAAGGACUGGGUAACGACCGGUGCCAGCCGCCGCGGUAAUACCGGCGGUCCAAGUCGCAGCCAUUUUUAUUGGGUCUAAAACAUCCGUAGCUUGCUUGGCAAGUUCCUUGUGAAAUUUUAUGUCUUAAACAUAGAGCGGGCAAGGAGUACUACCAAGCUAGAGACUGGGAGACGUAAGGAGUACGUUCGAAGUAGUGGUAAAAUGUGUUAAUCUCGAACGGACUAACAAGAGCGAAGGCACCUUACGAGAACAGUUCUGACAGUAAGGGAUGAAGGCUAGGGGCGCAAAACGGAUUAGAUACCCGCGUAGUC
rnacentral:rRNA from 1 species